GGCCCAGCUUGCUGGGUACUCGAGUGGCGAACGGGUGAGUAACACGUGGGUGAUCUGCCCUGCACUCUGGGAUAAGCCUGGGAAACUGGGUCUAAUACCGGAUAUGACCAACUGUCGCAUGGUGGUUGGUGGAAAGCUUUUGCGGUGUGGGAUGGGCCCGCGGCCUAUCAGCUUGUUGGUGGGGUAAUGGCCUACCAAGGCGACGACGGGUAGCCGACCUGAGAGGGUGAUCGGCCACACUGGGACUGAGACACGGCCCAGACUCCUACGGGAGGCAGCAGUGGGGAAUAUUGCACAAUGGGCGCAAGCCUGAUGCAGCGACGCCGCGUGAGGGAUGACGGCCUUCGGGUUGUAAACCUCUUUCACCAGGGACGAAGCGGAAGUGACGGUACCUGGAGAAGAAGCACCGGCCAACUACGUGCCAGCAGCCGCGGUAAUACGUAGGGUGCGAGCGUUGUCCGGAAUUACUGGGCGUAAAGAGCUCGUAGGCGGUUUGUCGCGUCGUCUGUGAAAUUCUGCAACUCAAUUGCAGGCGUGCAGGCGAUACGGGCAGACUUGAGUACUACAGGGGAGACUGGAAUUCCUGGUGUAGCGGUGAAAUGCGCAGAUAUCAGGAGGAACACCGGUGGCGAAGGCGGGUCUCUGGGUAGUAACUGACGCUGAGGAGC
rnacentral:rRNA from 1 species